rnacentral:rRNA from 1 species
CACGGGGGGAGCAAGCGUUGUUCGGAAUCACUGGGCGUAAAGGGCGUGUAGGCGGUCUGGUAAGUGGGAUGUGAAAGCCCCCGGCUCACCCGGGGAUCUGCAUUCCAAACUGCCAGACUUGAGUAUGGGAGAGGACAGGGGAAUUCCUGGUGUAGCGGUGAAAUGCGUAGAUAUCGGCAGGAACACCCGUGGCGAAAGCGGCCACCUAGCCCGCACCUGACGCUGAUGCGCGACAGCGUGGGGAGCGAACUGG